UCCCCUGUAGCUCAAUUGGUAGAGCAGGUCGCUGUUAACGACAAGGUUGCAGGUUCGAGACCUGCCGGGGGAG
rnacentral:tRNA from 1 species